rnacentral:rRNA from 1 species
GGGUAACCUGCCCUUGAAGUAGGGGAUAACACUUGGAAACAGGUGCUAAUACCGUAUAACAACCAAAACCACCUGGUUUUGGUUUAAAAGACGGCUUCGGCUGUCACUUUAGGAUGGACCCGCGGCGCAUUAGCUUGUUGGUAAGGUAACGGCUUACCAAGGCGAUGAUACGUAGCCGACCUGAGAGGGUAAUCGGCCACAUUGGGACUGAGACACGGCCCAAACUCCUACGGGAGGCAGCAGUAGGGAAUCUUCCACAAUGGACGAAAGUCUGAUGGAGCAACGCCGCGUGAGUGAUGAAGGGUUUCGGCUCGUAAAACUCUGUUGUUGGAGAAGAACAGGUGUCAGAGUAACUGUUGACAUCUUGACGGUAUCCAACCAGAAAGCCACGGCUAACUACGUGCCAGCAGCCGCGGUAAUACGUAGGUGGCAAGCGUUGUCCGGAUUUAUUGGGCGUAAAGCGAGCGCAGGCGGUUUUUUAGGUCUGAUGUGAAAGCCUUCGGCUUAACCGGAGAAGUGCAUCGGAAACCGGGAGACUUGAGUGCAGAAGAGGACAGUGGAACUCCAUGUGUAGCGGUGAAAUGCGUAGAUAUAUGGAAGAACACCAGUGGCGAAGGCGGCUGUCUGGUCUGUAACUGACGCUGAGGCUCGAAAGCAUGGGUAGCGAACAGGAUUA